CCCUCUAUUUCCCGUUUGGCUCCUACACGCACUUGCCAGCCCCUCUUCUCUCAUAAUUAUCUCAGUUGUCCUCUUCGACCAAAAGCUGCCAUUUCCUGAUCCCCACUUUUUACCAUUUCCCUUGUGAAUAUUAGACCUGGCAUCCAAGAACUCGUCUGGCAUCCAAGAACUCGUCUUUCUCUCACACCAGCUCCUCUCCGUAGCCAUUAACACUUCCGUCGAAGACAAUACUUCAGAGCCAUAAACAACAUCAUCGCUACUUCAUCCUCGUCGGCAGUUCGUCCCGUUGAGCUCCUCCAUCAAAGAUAAGUGCCCGUCAACAUUUUACAGACAAUAGUUCAGAGCCAUAAACAACAUUGUUGCCACUUCGUCCUCAUCGGCAGCCUGUCCUCGUCGAGCUCUUGGAUCAAAGACAAUUGCCUGUCGACAUUUCACAACCUCCUAAGCUAUGUAGAGAUGCAAACAACAAAGUGACGUGAGCUAUAAGACGAGCAAAGAUCCGGCCUUGUGCAAAUUCUGCUAGUUGAGAGGCGGAGUGCAUAAAUGUGCACCGUAAUACUCUUCUUGUUGCCUAAGCUGGGAAAUGCAAGGCAUUUAGUCCUAACUGCAAACAACAUGGAAGAUUUGCUAGAGUGGAAAAUAGUCUUAGGCCAAUGGAUGGAAAAGUAGCAAUGCACCGCAAAUGCAAGCAUGCUGACAAGGACAAUUCUAAAUUGAAGUGUUAUAACUAUUGAAAAGUGAUGCACUUUGCUAGUGAGUGCAUUGAGACACAGGAGCAACCAAACAUGCAGUUCGAGAAUGAGUUGGGUUUAUAGAUUAUAGAAGAAUAUCAACUGCCAGGUUGUUCAUUAGAUUGGGUAACGAAACUCGAGAGGAAGUACUUGGAGUUGGCACCUACCAACUUAAGAUGUGUUGGGGGUGCUUGUUACUUCUUCAUAAUGUGCUUUAUGCACCUGAUGUUCAAUGUAAUUUAUUUUCAGUUAUUUCUAUGUUGGAACUUGGUUUUACUUUUCAUUUUGAUUGUCCUUAGCUGGACUUUUAUUUGGAUAGGGCUUUUUAUGGACAUGUUUUUCUCUCAAAUAGUUUUUUUUAUGUUGGAUUUAGAUAUUUCUCA